rnacentral:rRNA from 1 species
CCUGUUCCCAUUCCGAACACAGAAGUUAAGCUCUUUAGCGCCGAUGGUACUUGGUGGGAAGCUGCCUGGGAGAGUAGGACGUAGCCACGUA